GACGUGACGUAAAGGUACAUUAAAAACCUUUUACGUUCGCUUUCACCAAUAAACGGUUAUUUUAAUAAGCAAAAUACAUUUAUAGCAGACUAAUGCAUCUUAGGUUUUCAUUUAGAAACGAAUAUUUUUAUUGUCGGCAAUGUGAAACGAAAUAUUUCUAGAUGUCGCUUGAUCCCUCCCACUGGAUUACGAUGAUUUGUUUUUAUUCAAAGGCUCAAACUUAUUUCCGUACUGUAACACGACCUUUAACGCACUUCUCACAUUACAUGCAAAUGAAGCUUACAACAGUGCAUAAAUACGUAAUUAGGGGCGACUUCUGUCGACAUUUUUAUAAAUUUUUAUGUUUUUACAAGCCGUGUUUGCGCAUGCAUAAGUACUGGCUGUACAGAAACAGUACCAUGCAUCUUCUUCACAUGAAGAAGGCCUCCCUCUUUUCGCACGAUGAAAUGUGCGAUGGCCUGGGACAUCUGAUGGAAAUACAAAGAAUACUUACUAUUGUCUCGACAACUGUAGCAGAACAUUGCACUAGAAAAUGCACAUCCUUUGAAUCCACUGAACUUUGCUUCUGACGCAUAAAUGUACAUGCAGAGAAAAUCUUUCAGACCGUACCUCUCCAGAACAAGCAGUGAGGUUCUGCAGAGUUGAGAUGGAUGCCACUUUUGUGGUUUGGUUAGCACUGACAGCAAUAAGUGAGAGGUACAUGCGAACAGUGAUUGCGCUCCAGAGCCACUCGGCACCUUCAGGAUUGGCAUUCUCUUCCAAUAGAGGAUAAUCGGUCUCUGUUUCCUGUGAGCCAGUCCUUCCAAAACUUCCUGACUUUUCUACUGUACUGAUCUGGGAGCUGUGUUGGAUGGGUUGUCUUCCUGCAACAAUGUCCAGGCUCAGCUUCCGUUUGUGAGUCUGCCAGGACACGUCCUCUGUCUGUUCAUGAGAACC